rnacentral:rRNA from 1 species
CCUACGGGAGGCAGCAGUGGGGAAUAUUGCACAAUGGGCGCAAGCCUGAUGCAGCCAUGCCGCGUGUGUGAAGAAGGCCUUCGGGUUGUAAAGCACUUUCAGCGGGGAGGAAGGCGGUGAGGUUAAUAACCUCAUCGAUUGACGUUACCCGCAGAAGAAGCACCGGCUAACUCCGUGCCAGCAGCCGCGGUAAUACGGAGGGUGCAAGCGUUAAUCGGAAUUACUGGGCGUAAAGCGCACGCAGGCGGUCUGUCAAGUCGGAUGUGAAAUCCCCGGGCUCAACCUGGGGACUGCAUUCGAAACUGGCAGGCUAGAGUCUUGUAGAGGGGGGUAGAAUUCCAGGUGUAGCGGUGAAAUGCGUAGAGAUCUGGAGGAAUACCGGUGGCGAAGGCGGCCCCCUGGACAAAGACUGACGCUCAGGUGCGAAAGCGUGGGGAGCAAACAGGAUUAAUACCCCAGUAGUC